GUAAAGCAUGGCUUUGUGGUUUGAGUGCUGGUCUAUGUCUCCAGAGACCAGGGUUCAAUUCCCAGCUCAACU